GGGUUGUGAGGUUAAGCGACUAAGCGUACACGGUGGAUGCCCUGGCAGUCAGAGGCGAUGAAGGGCGUGCUAAUCUGCGAUAAGCGCCGGUAAGGUGAUAUGAACCGUUAUAACCGGCGAUACCCGAAUGGGGAAACCCAGUGUGAUUCGUCACACUAUCAUUAACUGAAUCCAUAGGUUAAUGAGGCGAACCGGGGGAACUGAAACAUCUAAGUACCCCGAGGAAAAGAAAUCAACCGAGAUUCCCUCAGUAGCGGCGAGCGAACGGGGAGGAGCCCAGAGCCUGAAUCAGCAUGUGUGUUAGUGGAAGCGUCUGGAAAGGCGCGCGAUACAGGGUGACAGCCCCGUACACAAAAGCGCAUAUGCUGUGAGCUCGAUGAGUAGGGCGGGACACGUGGUAUCCUGUCUGAAUAUGGGGGGACCAUCCUCCAAGGCUAAAUACUCCUGACUGACCGAUAGUGAACCAGUACCGUGAGGGAAAGGCGAAAAGAACCCCGGCGAGGGGAGUGAAAAAGAACCUGAAACCGUGUACGUACAAGCAGUGGGAGCACAGGUUUACCUGUGUGACUGCGUACCUUUUGUAUAAUGGGUCAGCGACUUAUAUUCUGUAGCAAGGUUAACCGAAUAGGGGAGCCGGAGGGAAACCGAGUCUUAACCGGGCGUUAAGUUGCAGGGUAUAGACCCGAAACCCGGUGAUCUAGCCAUGGGCAGGUUGAAGGUUGGGUAACACUAACUGGAGGACCGAACCGACUAAUGUUGAAAAAUUAGCGGAUGACCUGUGGCUGGGGGUGAAAGGCCAAUCAAACCGGGAGAUAGCUGGUUCUCCCCGAAAGCUAUUUAGGUAGCGCCUCGUGAAUUCAUCUCCGGGGGUAGAGCACUGUUUCGGCUAGGGGGCCAUCCCGGCUUACCAACCCGAUGCAAACUGCGAAUACCGGAGAAUGUUAUCACGGGAGACACACGGCGGGUGCUAACGUCCGUCGUGAAGAGGGAAACAACCCAGACCGCCAGCUAAGGUCCCAAAGUCAUGGUUAAGUGGGAAACGAUGUGGGAAGGCCCAGACAGCCAGGAUGUUGGCUUAGAAGCAGCCAUCAUUUAAAGAAAGCGUAAUAGCUCACUGGUCGAGUCGGCCUGCGCGGAAGAUGUAACGGGGCUAAACCAUG
rnacentral:rRNA from 1 species